CAGCAGCCACGGUAAUACAGAGGGUGCGAGCGUUAAUCGGAUUUACUGGGCGUAAAGCGUGCGUAGGCGGCUUUUUAAGUCGGAUGUGAAAUCCCUGAGCUUAACUUAGGAAUUGCAUUCGAUACUGGGAAGCUAGAGUAUGGGAGAGGAUGGUAGAAUUCCAGGUGUAGCGGUGAAAUGCGUAGAGAUCUGGAGGAAUACCGAUGGCGAAGGCAGCCAUCUGGCCUAAUACUGACGCUGAGGUACGAAAGCAUGGGGAGCAAACAGGAUUAGAUACCCCAGUAGUCCCUGUCUAUUAUAC
rnacentral:rRNA from 1 species